rnacentral:tRNA from 1 species
GCCCAGGUGGUGGAAUUGGUAGACACACCAGCUUGAGGGGCUGGCGCCGUCAAAAGCGUGCAAGUUCGAGUCUUGUCCUGGGCACAA